AGUGAACGCUGGCGGUAGGCCUAACACAUGCAAGUCGAACGGCAGCACAGUAAGAGCUUGCUCUUACGGGUGGCGAGUGGCGGACGGGUGAGGUAUACAUCGUAAUCUACUUUUUCGUGUGUGAUUACGUAGGGUAACUUACUCUAAUACCGCAUACGUCCUACGGGUGAAAUCAUUGGAUCUUCGGACCUUGCGCGUUUUAAUUAGCCGAUGUCGGAUUAGCUAGUUGGCGGGGUAAAGGCCCACCAAGGCGACGAUCCGUAGAUGGUCUGAGAGGAUGAUAAGACACACUGGAACUGAGACACGGUACAGACACAGAAGGGAGGCAGAAGUGGGGAAUAUUGGACAAUGGGGGAAAGCAUGAUACAGCAAGACCGAGUGGGUGAAGAAGGACUUAGGGUUGUAAAGCCAUUUUGUUGGGAAAGAAAAGAAGCAGGUUAAUAACACGAUGUACUGACGGUAACCAAAGAAUAAGCACCGGCUAACUUCGUG
rnacentral:rRNA from 1 species